rnacentral:rRNA from 1 species
GUGUCAGCCGCCGCGGUAAUACGUAGGGUGCAAGCGUUAAUCGGAAUUACUGGGCGUAAGGCGUGCGCAGGCGGUUAUAUAAGACAGAUGUGAAAUCCCCGGGCUCAACCUGGGAACUGCAUUUGUGACUGUAUAGCUAGAGUACGGCAGAGGGGGAUGGAAUUCCGCGUGUAGCAGUGAAAUGCGUAGAUAUGCGGAGGAACACCGAUGGCGAAGGCAAUCCCCUGGGCCUGUACUGACGCUCAUGCACGAAAGCGUGGGGAGCAAACAGGAUUAGAAACCCGAGUAGUCC